UGGUGUGGGCAGGCCAUACACAAUCACUUGGAUGUGCAUUCCUCCAAAUUUUCUGGAAUUUCAGGCUGUAGCGAUGCAGUAUCCCAUGGUUCAGCUAGCAGCACCAAGAGUACAGAGCUUGUACUAGGAGUAAAAUCAAUUCCAGAUGAUACGCCAGUGUGUAGGAUACUGCUGCGGAAAGAAGUCUUACGUUUAGUGAUCAACUUGAGCAGUUCUGUAGGAACAAAGGGCCAUGAAACUGGACUCCUGACAAUUAAGGAGAAGUAUCCCCAAGCAUUUGAUGACAUAUGCCUUUACUCUGAGGUGUCCUACUUGUUAGCACACUGUACAUUUCGACUGCCAUCUCGAAGGUUCAUUCAGGAGCUAUUUCAAGAUGUACAGUUUUUACAAAUGCACGAAGAAGCAGAGGCUGUUCUAGCAACAUCAACAAAACAACCAGUAAUUGAUGCAUCAGCUGAAUCCUGACCUCUGUCUCAGGCAGUGUAUCACAUAUGGACUUACUGAAAUCCUCAAACAACCUCCAGUUGACUGGAUGUACUACUUUGGAGCAUCAUCUUCUAGACUGUUCCAGAAGUUACUGGUACCAGAAGAGUGAACUGAAAACCUUUCUUUUCCUCAACCAAUUACUGCCCCAGUCUUUUGAGCCCUUUGGGGAGUUAUUAAACAUUACCAUAGUUUUAAUAAUAAUAAUUACCAGUAUAUGUAAGAGCCAAGCACUGAACACCUCCACAAAUUUUCAUUUCAUUUUUUAACAUAAAUAAAAAA